AUACGUAGGGGGCGAGCGUUGUCCGGAAUGAUUGGGCGUAAAGCGCGCGCAGGCGGUCCUUUAAGUCUGAUGUGAAAGCCCGCGGCUUAACUGCGGAGGGGCAUUGGAAACUGGGGGACUUGAGGCUAGGAGAGGGAAGUGGAAUUCCUGGUGUAGCGGUGAAAUGCGUAGAGAUCAGGAGGAAUACCGAUGGCGAAGGCAGCUUCCUGGCCUAGGGCUGACGCUGAGGCGCGAAAGCGUGGGGAGCAAACAGGAUUAGAUACCCUGGUAGUCCACGCCGUAAACGAUGAGUGCUAGGUGUGAGGGGUUUCAACACCCUUCGUGCCGCAGUUCACACAAUAAGCACUCCGCCUGGGGAGUACGGUCGCAAGACUGAA
rnacentral:rRNA from 1 species